rnacentral:lncRNA from 1 species
ACAAAACCGUGACGAUAUUAAAUUAAAUAUGGCUGAAUAGAGCAUUUCUACAACUGAUGAAAUCUAUUGCUUCUGUGUGAUGCAGCACACUGUCAGCUAGACUGUCAUCACCUCGGCAUCCCAAACAGCGUCUGCUGAAGUCUGCUCGUGUGUGUGAGGUGGCCGGGAGAAAACACAUCUGCUUCAGAGACAAGGUGUCUCAAGGUGUCGAAAUGAUUGUAGAAACAGUGCUCCAGUCAAGUGGCUGAUAAUAUUUAUGACAUGUUUCACACCAGAUACACUCUGUACAGCCAGGCCUACCAGCACAAGAUCGUCAACAUCAUCGAAGAGAAGAUCUCAGAAGCCCUCAUAGCAGCGAAAGACAAGCUCUCAAAUAUUCUAAGCAAUGGUACAGGUGCUGAGAACCUAACAACAACA